GACGGAGGGUGCUAGCGUUAUUCGGAAUUAUUGGGCGUAAAGGGUGUGCAGGCGGUCGAUCAAGUCAGAUGUGAAAGCCCGGGGCUCAACCUCGGAAGUGCAUUUGAAACUGGUCGACUUGAGUUCGGGAGAGGGAAGCGGAAUUCCGGGUGUAGAGGUGAAAUUCGUAGAUAUCCGGAGGAACACCGGUGGCGAAGGCGGCUUCCUGGACCGAAACUGACGCUGAGACACGAAAGCGUGGGGAGCAAACAGG
rnacentral:rRNA from 1 species